ACCAGAGCAGCGCUGCCCGCUUGGCCUCGCCACGUCCGGCCCGAGCGCUGCCACCCCCGACACUGCAGGCAUUAAAUGCCACUAUCCAGCGGCGACACAGAUUCCUCCGGAUAACUUGGGGGCCGCGUGCCUUCCGAAGAGGGAACGCCGGAACAAGCCCCGACAGGCGAGGGGCGAGCGGGGGCAGGGAGGUCGGAAGACUCCCUGGAGCAGCUGAGGCUUCCCUUCGCGAUAGACGAAAGGAGUUCCCAAAAGGAGAGUUCGCUGUGCAGUCCCAGUCCCGGCGAGAGCAGAAUUUGGUUCCACGAGUAUUUGAGGAAAACAGAUGGGGGAAGAGAAUUGCCAGAAGGAAGAUGGCCCCAGAGGGUCAGAAGAGGGAUGGCCCAGACCUGCUGUCUCCCUCUUAGUUUGGCCCCACCCACCACCAAAAAAAGAAAGAAAGAAAAAGAAAAGAAAGAUGACAAGGAAAAAAAACCUCAAUCGUCCUCCUGGUCCUAAGACUCAACAUGUAUUUUGAAAACGAGUAGCAGAGGUGGUACUUCAGCUGAGCCAUCACGGAGGAGCAGGAAGGCUGUAACUCCAGAAAGAGGAAUCAAACUUGACAGCGGUUUGUGGGUUUGUUUCCUGGGGACCAUUGCUCAGAGGAAAAAAAAAAAAAGGAAGAAAAGAGAGAGCGAGAAGUGGGGGUGAGGUUUGAUUUCUCAUCGUGAAGUAGCUUUCCUUCUUUCUUUUCUUGAAUUGACAGCACAUUGCCAGGAAGCAGGCCUGUAGUGUAAAUUGUUAAAUUAGCACAUUCCUAAUUUUGGUUAAGACAAUUUUUUAGCACUGGUAGCAAAGGGGGAAAUCUUUAAGUCAACCAAUUUAACCCCACUUAUAUAAGAAAUACAGCUUAUAGCUAUAAUGAUUUUUUUUAAUAUGGCAUAGCGACGGUUAGUAUUUGAAUCUAAUAAGGCUUUAUACAGCUUAUCCAUGAGGAGCCAGAGCUACACAUCCAGAUGAGGAGCCAAAGACACAGUCCACUGCUAUAAACUACGUUGUAUUAAAUUUUUCAUUGCCAUCCUAGCUAAUAAACACCCUUUGUUAGCAAAGGAGGAGGACGCAGGCUUCCAGUUUUUCCUCCACUCAUUUACAUUUGAAAGGGAGUCUAUAUGCCUUCAAGAAUCCUGAAAAUAAAUCAUCUUGUAUUUUAAUAAUUAACUAAAAAGAAACUAAAGGUACAAAAAACUAGCCGUGUGUGGUGGCAGGCGCCUGUAAUCCCAGCUAUUCGGGAGGCUGAGGCAAGAGAAUUGCUUGAACCCGGGAGCCGGAGGUUGCAGUGAGCUGAGAUCCUGCCACUGAACUCCAGCCUGUGUGACAGAGCAAGACUCCGCCUCGUAAAAAAAAAAAAAAGAAAGAAAAAAAAGAAACUAGCCCUAAAAUUAUAUAAGCAAUACAUUUUCAUUCUUUCUUGAAUUCAUCUGUAGCCAUGUUUUGUAUUCAAAGGUGACACUAGCUUCUGUCACUCUCUCAGACCUUGGGUUGGGGGUUAGGCCACAUUUCCAUCUGAGCGACUUCGCAUCUGCUUUCUUCAUCUGAUCCUUUAAUUAAAUAUUAGAUGCACCCACUUGUUUUGAUGUCAAAAUUGCACCUUUCACCAUCAUCCUCAGGGUGCAUUCAGAUAGUUUUUAAGUCCAUAAAUCACCAGAGUAUUUUUUUAAACAUUAAACAUUACAUCAUAAUUACUAUUUUGAACGAUGGCAGGGGGUGAGGGGAUGGGAUGGGGGG
rnacentral:lncRNA from 1 species